rnacentral:rRNA from 1 species
GACGAACGCUGGCGGCGUGCUUAACACAUGCAAGUCGAACGGAAAGGCCUGCUUUCCCUUGUGGAUUGCGGGUACUCGAGUGGCGAACGGGUGAGUAACACGUGAGUGAUCUGCCCCCAACUUGGGUAUAAGCCUGGGAAACUGGGUCUAAUUCCCGAUAGGACUGCAGGGUGGUGCCUGUGGUGGAAAACGAUUUUCUAGUGGUUGGGGAUGAGCUCGCGGCCUAUCAGCUUGUUGGUGGGGUAAUGGCCUACCAAGGCGGGGACGGGUAGCCGGCCUGAGAGGGUGGACGGCCACAUUGGGACUGAGAUACGGCCCAGACUCCUACGGGAGGCAGCAGUGGGGAAUAGUGCACAAUGGGCGGAAGCCUGAUGCAGCGACGCCGCGUGGGGGAUGACGGCCUUCGGGUGGUAAACUCCUUUCGACCGCGAGGAAGCCACCUGGUUGGAAGGGUGGUGACGGUAGUGGUAGAAGAAGCACCGGCUAACUACGUG